rnacentral:rRNA from 1 species
UACGUAGGGGGCGAGCGUUGUCCGGAUUUAUUGGGCGUAAAGCGCUCGCAGGUGGUUCGAUGCGUCGUGCGUGAAAGACCCCGGCUCAACUGGGGAGUGUCGUGCGAUACGGUCGGACUGGAGGCCAGUAGGGGGAUGCGGAAUUCCGGGUGUAGUGGUGGAAUGCGUAGAGAUCCGGAGGAACACCAGCGGCGAAGGCGGCAUCCUGGACUGGUCCUGACACUCAUGAGCGAAAGCGUGGGGAGCGAGUCCGG